CCUGGUGAUAAUAGCGAGGAGGUUCCACCCGUUCCCAUACCGAACACGGAAGUUAAGCUCCUCUGCGCCGAUGGUACUGUACCGCGAAGGUACGGGAGAGUAGGUCGUCGCCAGGC
rfam:Spirochaeta sp. JC230 contig817, whole genome shotgun sequence.